rnacentral:rRNA from 1 species
GCAAAACGCGAAGAACCUUACCCACCUUUAACAUGUACGGAAUCCUUUAGAGAUAGAGGAGUGCUCGAAAGAGAGCCGUAACACAGGUGCUGCAUGGCUGUCGUCAGCUCGUGUCGUGAGAUGUUGGGUUAAGUCCCGCAACGAGCGCAACCCUUGCCAUUAGUUGCUACGAAAGGGCACUCUAAUGGGACUGCCGGUGACAAACCGGAGGAAGGUGGGGAUGACGUCAAGUCCUCAUGGCCCUUAUAGGUGGGGCUACACACGUCAUACAAUGGCUGGUACAAAGGGUUGCCAACCCGCGAGGGGGAGCUAAUCCCAUAAAGCCAGUCGUAGUCCGGAUCGCAGUCUGCAACUCGACUGCGUGAAGUCGGAAUCGCUAGUAAUCGUGGAUCAGAAUGUCACGGUGAAUAC